UGAAUGUUUAAUUUAAAUUUUCUUGUUUAGUAUGCAUGAUUAGGGUUAAGUCUGUCCGAUUCGCUUCGGAACCUAAUGUGCACUCAGGUUACUCGGGUCAUCCUACGUGGCCGGAUAUAGGGUGUUACAUUUACCAAGGAUUCUUUAGGCUACUAUUUCUUUAAUGUCAAUUCAACGAGCAUUGCUUUUUCUGAGUGCUUUUGGGAGAAAUAGUUUUCAAUGCAUAGAUGUUUAUUCUAUGUUUCACAGAUUUGAUGGCUUUACAAGCACAUUCCAAGAUAAACUAUUCAAAGGCUAUAAUAUGGAAAUACACAACCAGAUAUUCUACACGACAUUGUGUUCUUGCGUUCUCAGCUUCACAGGUCUGGUAUUACAGGGGCAUUUACUUCCAGCUGUAGAUUUUGUUUAUCGCUGCAAUGACUGUUUUCUUGAUAUUGUAUUACUCUCAACUGUAAGUUAUCUUUUGCCAAAACUGUUCCUAGUCUUAAUAGGCUUUAACUGAUGAUGGUCAUCGACUCAUGCUCAUCUUUAAUUGUCCACGACUAAUCAAGAAGUACCACGAGGAUCUAAAGUUUAGGGAUUAUCUGUUAUAGGUAGCAACAACCAGUCAAUUCUCAUUUCUUACACGAUCCGUAAUUUCGGUGCUCUCACAUUUGCUGCCAUCAUGACCACAAGACAGCUGGUUAGCUCUUGCUGUCAUGCAUCUGGUUCGGCCAUCCCCUUAGCUGGGAACAAUGGAUGGGGCAGUCAUCGUAUUUGGCUCCUUGUAUGCUAAAACUUGUGGAAAAAACGAUCAUCAGCCCCCUCCUCCACACAAACAGAAACGAAGCUUCAAGUCCCGAGAAAGUGAUCCCUUAACGUCUUCUGGUCAAGUUUUACACUAGUAACUGCUGCAACUAAUUCUAUUCUGGUAUGAGCUUGCCUAUGUUAAAGCUGCAUUUUGAAGGUUGUGUGAGGAAGUGUGUUACAAAAGAUUUUUAACGAAAUUUGAUGUGAAACUUCAUAGAUGAUGGACUAAAAUUUGGGGGGAAAUGAGAAUAGAUAAACUACGUGAACUACAAGCCAAGUAAAGUCCAAAUACUCUUUCAUUUAUUAAUUGUUUUUUGUUUACAGCAGUAAU